CAGACUAAAGCAAAUGAAAUUAUCUGACAAGCAGUUCAUAGAGACCCAUGGGAAAAUUCUUGGCAAUAAAAUAUGCUCUACUUUCUGAAUUCCUCAUUAAGUCAGCAUAGCUCUGCCACAGUUUGCUGUUUUCAAGCCUAGUUGGAUAUGUAAAUGAUAAAACUUCCUCAGUAUAAACUGCUACACACAAACAGAUUCAUAUUCUAACUGUAUGAAGCUGAUUUUACCUCUAGAAGGAGAACGAGAGCUGUAGCUAGGGCAGCAGUCACUGUCAUCAUUAACUGUAAAUCUUCUGGGUCAUGGGAAGGGAAUUCAUCUCAAGGAAAUACUUUGCAACAGUUCAAAGCAGCAGUUGGUGAAAAUAAUCAUAGGACAUAAAGGCUAUUCCCAACCAUGAGAGUAUUUGGUUCCUCUUUUAAUGCUUCCUCUAAACAAAAACUGGCAGUGCCUGCUGACUAGACAACAGAUAGCUGAAGACAGAAGAAAAAGCAGGUAAAUAAUCCUGUUUGGCUCCAGGGAAAAGCUGCUUGAUGUGGAGGCAUAGCAAAGAUCAAAGUGAGCAGAUGGACACAAUCUGCUCAUUGGAGAGUACAUCCUGACUUUUGAGAAAUACACGUUGUGAUUUGGGAACACAGCACUCCAGCAAUAUGCCAGUCUAAGCUUCAGAAUGAUUCAAUGCUCUUAAAAGAGUGGAGCAGCAUGUCUUUGUCAGAUAAUUCAGAAACCAGAAUUACUGUUUUCGAGGGCAAAUAGUAAAGCUAAUUUAUUUAUUGAGAGACAAAUACAUACUCACUUGCACAACCAGAAAGAGAACAACAACCCAACAUAUUUACAGAGCCUACCUGGUGAAGUAAAUUUUUUACUAUCCUACUCUUUGAGGGAUUACCUC
rnacentral:lncRNA from 1 species